rnacentral:lncRNA from 1 species
CUCGCCGGGGCCUGUGCUCAGGUGAGGGGCGUCGCCCUUGUCGGCGACGGGGACAGCUUUUCCUGGUCCCCAUGUAGGUGCCCAGCGCCCUCCACUGCUGUUCUCGAAGCAGAGGACGACGAGAACGCAAGGAUGCACAGGCUUCGGUUAGCCAAGGUGCGGCCGGAGCAGAGGACGAUGAGGGGCUGUAGACCAGGGCUGCCGAGGUGGUCGGAAGCAGGGAGGAGGAGAGGCGAGGACGGAGCAGCGUGACCGCAAGCGCUGCUGGUGGAGGGAGAGCACGCAUCGAGGAGGCAGGGUGAGUAC